rnacentral:rRNA from 1 species
UACGAAGGAUGCAAGCGUUAUCCGGAUUUAUUGGGUUUAAAGGGAGCGUAGGCGGUCUUAUAAGUCAGUGGUGAAAUCUCGUUGCUUAACAACGACCGUGCCAUUGAUACUGUAGGACUUGAGUACAGUUGCCGUUGGGCGGAAUGUGUCAUGUAGCGGUGAAAUGCAUAGAUAUGACACAGAACACCGAUUGCGAAGGCAGCUGACGAAACUGUAACUGACGCUGAGGCUCGAAAGCGUGGGGAUCAAACAGG